GUGGUAAUACCCCUUCCCUGAGUCUAGCUUUGGGAAGUUCCUGGUGCUAAUAGAACAAGGUCCCACUCCUGGGCCUGCCUGUCCUCUACCCAAUGCUAGAAGGAACCCUAUCAGGGUCUCCCAGGCUCUCAUCCAGUCUGGCCUCAUCUCAGACUCCUGCUUAGGAUGGGGGUGUGGCUAGGGGUGCGCCUUUCCUCGUCUCCUGUUGGUACACUGUCCCCACAAUAAAAUGCCAUUCUCCCUC
rnacentral:lncRNA from 1 species